AUCCAGCCGACGAGCCCUAAAUAGGACGAAACGUGCAUUCUGGAU
rnacentral:hammerhead_ribozyme from 1 species